rnacentral:rRNA from 1 species
GACGAACGCUGGCGGCGUGCUUAAUACAUGCAAGUCGAACGGAAAGGUCCGGCUCUUGUUGGGUGCUCGAGAGGCGAACGGGUGAGUAACACGUGAGUAACAUGCCCCUAUCAUAGUGAUAACAUCAGGAAACUGCGGCUAUUACCCGAUAGAAGCUACUGCUCCAUGGUGGUGGAUGGAGAGUUUCGGCGUUUGGGAUUGUACUAGCGGCUUAUCAGCCUGUUGGUCGGGUUGGUGCUUACCAAGGAUAGGAAGGGUAGCCGGCCUGGCAGGGUGACGGGCCCCAUGGGCAUUGGGGAGCGACCAGUACGCAAACGGGAGGCAGGGGCGGGAAUAUUGCAGAAUGGGCGGAAGCCUGAUGCAGCAACGCCGCGUGCGGGAUGACGGCCUUCGGGUUGUAAACCGCUUUCGCCGGUGACGAAGCGUGAGUGACGGUAAUGGGUAAAGAAGCACCGGCUAACUACGUG